GUUUUAAACCAAUUAUUGUUUCAGUUAGAAGUAACAGUUUGAAAGCGAUAGCACUUGGCCCUCAUACAAAGAAAAACUAUUUUGCUUGAGUUUGGGUUCUUUAUCUUUUUGUUGGCUGUAUACAUCCUAUUCUUUUGUGAAGAUUUUUCUCUUUUGUUAAAUUUUCCCCAUCAGCGGAGUAUUCCGGUAAUUUGGCUGCUGUUGUCAAACGUCUGGCAUCUUUACAUGAAGUCAAAGUUACGUGUCACACAAGCAUCCAAAGACAUCCACGGUCUUGGUUUUUGGCAUUCGGCCCUUAACCGGUCUUUGAAUUCAGUCACAAAAAGUCCUCAUUUCAAGAUUGAGUUCAUAUGAAAUGGUUCUAGGUUCCCACUGUUCAUAAAGGAUACGCUGGAAAUGAAUAAAUCACAGCGACUCUUUGUGUCGUAUUCCUUUCUCCUGGUCUUUGCGUCGCAUAGCUCCUUCUUGUUUAGUCCAGAUUAAUUCUGCAUCCCGUAACAAAAUGAGGCCAAAAUGAAGAAAGAAGGAAAAAACAUAAAUCUAUGGUCUAUACAAGUCCUGUAAUGUUUGAGGGCAAGGAUAUACCACACAUAAUGAUUAUGGGUUGGUGGUACUUAGUCAGUAAUGGCUAUGUCAUUGCACUUUGGCCAGUUGCUAAGCAAAUCCCUGCCUGUCAAUGGAGCAUCCGCAUUUUGGUAUUUUAGGCAGUUGGGCAAACUAACAAUUCUCCUUGUUUGGGGGAUGGGAGGAUAGAGCUUUUGUUUCAGAAAGGAAGAUUACUUUUGUUGCCUUAGUUGUCCACACCUGCAUGAGGAAGCGGUGUUCACUUUCAGAACAGGUUCCAUUUUGUUUUCAAGAAAUUGUAGCAGAGGCUGAGACCAGUCUCAUGACAAAGCUAGCUGUGUGUGGGUAGCCGGGAAAAUUACUAAUAUGGCAGAUUAGACAAAAAAAGGGGGGUUUCAAGAGGGGAGCAGAAAGAAGUAACGUUUUUACAAAAGGAGAAAGUACGAUUUACAAACACCAGGAACGUUGCAAUGAACCUUUUUGUUGCAGUUCAGUAUUUGAUUUGACAUAAGAGAGCAUUGAAGGGCAAAUUAUACAAAUACAUAUAAUAUAUAUAUUUGUUUAUUUACAGGUAUUAUAUUCUGG
ensembl:lncRNA